UGACAACCUGGAUGAAUAAUAGUCAUUUUCCACCUCCCCCAGUAGAGCUUUUACUAUCGAAUUAAAUUUCCUGUUGUGUGAUAUCACCACAGGCAGGUCUUGGAUGUUUAAACAUCUGCAUCUCUCUUACAGUAACUAGAGUCCAUUCAGCCAGUCAAACAUGGUAGAAGAUCUUAUUUUCAAAGAAGGAGGGAAAAAAACUUUCUGAUAAAUACAGAGCAGACUGAAUUUUCUUUCCUUUAAGACAUCUCAAUAUAACUGUGAAAUCGUCAACCCAGGAAGAAAAGGUGGACAUUUACAACACGGAAAUUUCAAAGGGACAUGAAUUCUACCCAGGAAAAAGGAACCUGCUCUUCUGAAUUAUUCUGUGACUCUCUCUCUCUCUCUCUCUGCUGUAUGGAGAUAAAUAACCUCUUUAUGUGGUUCAUGUGUGUCAAGAUAAAAGAAUUAUGAUGAUGAAAUUAACAUUAAGAAUAUCAUCCUUACUUCAGCUUCGUGGGCGACCAUUAUACCUAUCCUAAUGAGUUUUACAGUCCUAUACUGGCCCAGUUGGAACAGCAUCUUGUCUGGUGUUUUGUGACAGAAUUUUCACUAGGAGGAACGUAUACCUUUUUGAGCCAUGACUUCCUGACCUUGCAGAGGCUAACACGAUCUACAAACUAUAUCCUGUGUGUUGCAUUGCCAGGGGAUAGAGCCUUCUAGAGGUCAGUGUACCAUUUUUCAUACAAUGGCCAGAGAUGCUGUGUUUCCAGCCAGCAAGAUGAUUGACCUGGCUAUGGUUAUUUGGCUCAUCAGCAGUGUCCUUUUUAUCAUAUUAGCCAUGGUACUGCUCUAUGGGUGCCUUAGAAUGUGGUGCAAGAAGUGUAAGAACACAUCAAAUGGUCCUGGGACUUCUGAACAUAUUAGUGGUCAUGCAGGAAAUGCCCAUUCCUGGCAUGGAGUUGACAUUGGAACAACCCAAAUCAAUGAAUUUCCUACAUUAAUUGUAACUGAUAUGUUUCCAGAGAUUAAACCAGAGAGAGUCAUUCAUACACCACUGGGUGGAACAAUGGUUCUGCUCUCCCACAGACAGGACACUCAUGAAUUAUAAGUCCUGCCCCUAAAUGGUUCAGGAUAACUAUAAAUAUUUAUACUCUAUGAACUUGAUUUUGAAACCUUAUUAUAGCCAAUAUCCUCUUAGUGUUUUCAGGGACCUGGAAAUACCCCUCAACAAUAGACUAGCAUGUAAAGGCAUAUUUUUCAAAGGAGGACACAAUGGGUAUAGUUGCAAAAAUAUAGAUGCACCCAUCCCCCCCCUCAAAAUCCCAUAAAUUGACAUGCAGAUAUACAUAACUUCUACCCAAAUACAUUAUGGAGGUGAUGGCUAUGACUCCAUAGUUAGGACUGCAUUCUAAAAUGGGAUAUAAAUUCAUGGUUUUUUAAUCUAAAAGUAGAUGACCUAUCUAUGUGUAAUUUUGCCCAAGGUCAGUUUUUAUGCCCUUUGAAUUUUCUGAGUA